rnacentral:lncRNA from 1 species
CAUCCUUAUCUUUUCCUUUUUUGUUGCUAAGUUUUAGGGAUAGAGAGAGGGAGAGAGGUUUUGAGCACAAAAAAAAAUUAAUAGGAAAGAAAGAGAGAAAACUUGGUUUCGUUCUUACGAGCGAGCGAGCGAGUGGAGUGAGCGCAUGCGUAUUUUUGGCGUUUUGACGUCGCGGUUAGUAUUACAAUAUUAUUAUUUCUCGUUUAAACUCUUUUGAUAAUUUUUGGUAGAAAUUAAGAGUUAGAAACUGUUUUUUUUUUUAUAUAUACAUUUUAGGAGCAGAUUUCGCGCAAUUUUGACGAUGAUUUUUCGAGCUAUUUUAGAGUGUUGUGGCUGCUAUCCAGUCUACCGUUCAUUUCUUUAGAUUUGUAUUAUAGAUGGGUUUCGUGUUGUCAAAAUUGGCAGACUAAUUUCAUGCCCGUCUUAUAUUAUUUAAUCUGUGAGAUAAACUAUUGAUAUAGUUGAGAUAAUAGUGAUAAUUUGACAUUUGCUAGUAGAGUAGAUUGAGACAUAUAUAUAUACAUAUACAUAUAUAUAUAUAUAUAUAUGCAUAUAUAUAUAUAUAUAUGUGAUAUAGUAUAGUACAUAUACAUAUAUAUAUAGUACACGUUAUUUACAGUAUUUACAUAUAUUACGAUAUACAGUAUCGUAGCAUUACUUAGCUAACUAUAGUAUGAAUAUAUACAUAUAUAUAUAUAUAUACAUAUAUAUAUAUAUAUACAUAUAUAUAUAUAUACAUAUAUAUAUAUAUAUAUAUAUAUAUAUAUAUAUGCUAGUUGACUGUGAUGCAAAUGCAUGUAAUAAUUAUUUUAAUUUAUUUUAAAUCAAUAUAAAUUUGCCUAUUAUAUUUAUUUAAAAAUUUAUAAUUUAUAAAUUCAUAUGUUAUAUUUAUUAGAAAAUAUUUGUAAUAUUUUAUAUUUUUUUACAUAUAUUAAAUAUUUAUAUUUUUUUUUAUUUCUGAUGAUCUAAAAUUUAAAUAUGUGUUUUAAACAAAAAGCAUCAAAAUUUAAUUCAUAUUUAUUUCAAAUUUUCAAAUUUAAUUUUUAUCUACUAUAAUUAAAAUUUUUGGAUAAGAAUGCUAUUUUUUAACAGAUUAAUCAUAACCGUUCGUUCUUAUUUGAGAUUAUUUUAAUUAAGUGAACCGUUCAUUUUUAAUUGACACAACUGUUCAUAGGAUUGGAUUUAUAGAUGGAUAAGAAUGCUAUUUUUAACAGAUUAAUCAUAACCAUUCAUUCUUAUUUGAGAUUUUUUUAAUUAAGUGAUCAUACCUGGCCCUAAAAAAUAUAGAGAAUAUUCUUUUAUUCCUUUUUGUAUUCUUUUAUAGAUGGAUAAGAAUGCUAUUUGUUAACAGAUUAAUUAUAACUGUUCGUUCUUAUUUGAAAUUUUUUUAAUUAAGUGAUCAUACCCGUUCGUACCCGUCCCUAGAAAAUAUAGGGAAUAUUUUUUUAUUUAUUUUUGGAUUCCGUCUGUCAUUGUCGGAAUUUCUAUACGCUUGUAUAUAUAGUAUAGAUAUAUAUGAUAUUUUUCUAAGGGUCAAUAGACAGUUACAGUUAGUGUGAGACUAUAACUGUAUUUUGGACACUAUGACAGUAUUAUCAUGAUCUAUUUGAUCAUCGCAUUUGAUCACAGAUUGCAUGUUAUGUUGAGUUUGACAGUGAUACUAUACUCGGUUGGGGAAGCAUCCCGUGAGUGCCACUCCUGAGAUUGGGCUAUGAGAUAUUAUUAUGGCAUGGGCCGGACAGUAGUCUGCGUGGUAGCAAACCACUAUAGGUGGGUGCUGGACACGAGGCGGAGCAGACUAGACCUCACUAUUGAGUUGGUCACUAUGAUUGGGCAUUAUUGCAGUAUUUUAUUUAGUCUCUAAUUAACGCAUGCAAAACAAAAUUUACAAUUUCAGUUAUAUUUCAGAGACAUAAUAGUAACAGUUAUUUUCAGCAAUUAUUCAUAUUACUAUCUGUUCCUUUAUAUUGCUCAGUAUUUACUAUUUUUGCCUCUUAUAGACCUAGUGGUGUAGACUGUCGGCGUUGACGAUCGUACCCACUAAAAACUAUUGAUUAUAGUUCUCAUACCCUCUUAUUUAAUAUUUUAUUUCAGAGCAUUCAGCACCUGCGACUGAUCUAGAUAAGGGGAUCGCGGCGGAUAGUUAGCAUCUCCCACCCUCCUUGUGUGUGUAGUUGGACCACCUAUUAGUGAGCAGUCUGUACAGUAUUUUGACACUUGGAGUGGUCAGAAAUGUUGUACAAUUUUGAAGAUUGGUGUGGUGAUGAUUGUAGAUCGUUACAAUGUUGUUAUAUUAUAUAAUUUUAUUUUCCUCUGAUACCUAUUAUUGUUAAAUUUGGUUAAUUUUGUUGAAUAAGUUUUGUUGACGCUUCGUAUAUAUAAAGUGUAUCCUUAUGCAUGCGG